AUUGAACGCUGGCGGCAGGCCUAACACAUGCAAGUCGAGCGUGAAAGUUCUUCGGAAUGAGUAAAGCGGCGGACGGGUGAGUAACGCGUAGGAAUCUGCCCUGAAGUGGGGGAUAACUUGGGGAAACUCAAGCUAAUACCGCAUAGACCUGAGGGUGAAAGAUGGGGAUCUUCGGACCUAUCGCUUCAGGAGGAGCCUGCGUCGGAUUAGCUGGUUGGUAGGGUAAAGGCCUACCAAGGCGACGAUCCGUAGCUGGUCUGAGAGGAUGACCAGCCACACUGGGACUGAGACACGGCCCAGACUCCUACGGGAGGCAGCAGUGGGGGAUAUUGGACAAUGGGCGCAGGCCUGAUCCAGCAAUGCCGCGUGUGUGAAGAAGGCCUGCGGGUUGUAAGGCACUUUAGUUGGGGAAGAAGGGUUGUAUUUUAAUAGAAUGCAACAUUGACGUUACCCAAAGAAUAAGCACCGGCUAACUCUGUGCCAGCAGCCGCAGUAA
rnacentral:rRNA from 1 species